rnacentral:rRNA from 1 species
UUUCGAAUCAUUCACAAUGGGCGAAAGCCUGAUGGUGCGACGCCGCGUGAGGGAUGAAGGUCUUCGGAUUGUAAACCUCUGUCACCGGGGAGGAAACGCUUUAAAUAAAUAGUUUAAAGCCUGACUUAACCCGGAGAGGAAGCAGUGGCUAACUCUGUGCCAGCAGCCGCGGUAAUACAGAGACUGCAAGCGUUAUUCGGAUUCACUGGGCGUAAAGGGUGCGCAGGCGGCCGUGUGUGUGAGGCGUGAAAGCCCGAGGCUCAACCUCGGAAUUGCACCUCAAACUACACGGCUAGAGCAUUGGAGAGGGUAGCAGAAUUCAUGGUGUAGCAGUGAAAUGCGUAGAUAUCAUGAGGAAUACCAGAGGCGAAGGCGGCUACCUAGACAAUUGCUGACGCUCAGGCACGAAAGCGUGGGGAGCAAAAGGG